GUGCGUUAAAAGAAGUUCAGGGGUUUUAAAUGAGAAAUUAAAUAUAAGAGAUGUUAGUGCUAUAAGGGGUAUAUCACGAGUAAAAUUAAAUCCUUGAAAAAACCCUUUAUUAUAUGAAAUGUGGAAUUCAGCCCUUGUUUUUUAAUUGUAUUCAAUUUUGACCCAUAAUUUUUAUUUUUUAGCCAAAUAAAUGAAAUAAUUGAAAAUAUUCGUGCUGCCCACUCCCGUGUAGUUAGUCAAAAUUCUCUGGAGCAGUUAUUGUCUUGAUCUCUUCGAAGGCUUCUUCUUCUCAUGGGAGUAGCCAGCCUUAUGGGCAGUGAAAUCCUCAUUUCUUCAUGUUAUUUUUUCUCCUUUUUUUUUUUAUGAAUAAUUAGUUCUCUCUUCACAAUGAUUUGAUUUUUGGUGCAGUUUAUCAAAAGACCUGAUGAUUCUUCAUUGAGGCGCUAUAGAGCAAUAAUUUUGUAGAUGUUGAUCUUUUCAAUUAGAGUGUGUUUGGAUGAAAUGAGGGCAAAGAAAAUGGAGAGAUUUGUUAUUCAGUGAAUAUAAUGGGUUAGAGAGAUUUAUGUGCUCCUCCUAUGUCAGCCUAGAGAAAUUCUUGUCUAGAUUGAUCCACCAUGAACUCCAAGAUCCGUUAGGCUACUAUAACAAAUGCAGCUUUAAUUACUUUUUGACUUGUUUAUGAUUCACUUUCAUUUUGAGGAUCUGAUUUUCAGGAUCAACCAAUAUAUUUUUCAUUUAUUCUGCUA